GACAGAGGGUGCAACCGUUGCUCGGAAUUACUGGGCGUAAAGCGCGUGUAGGCGGAUUGGUAAGUCGGGUGUGAAAAUCCAGGGCUCAACCCUGGACCUGCAUUCGAUACGGGCAGACUAGAGUUCGGUAGGGGAGACUGGAAUUCCUGGUGUAGCGGUGAAAUGCGCAGAUAUCAGGAGGAACACCGAUGGCGAAGGCAGGUCUCUGGGCCACUACUGACGCUGAGAAGCGAAAGCAUGGGGAGCGAACAGG
rnacentral:rRNA from 1 species